rnacentral:tRNA from 1 species
GGGCGGUUAGCUCAAUUGGCAGAGCAUACGCCUUACACGCGUAGGGUUAUAGGUUCGAGUCCUAUACCGCCCAUCA